UACCUUAAAAGAAGAUUUAAGGAUAAACUAAUGCCUUGGUAUAACCUUGAAACUAACUGAUACAAUGAUAAAGAGUGUUCUUACUCCCAAACUGAAAUGUGGUUCCUCAGCCUCAGAACCCAUGGUCUUUGGGAUAAGAGGGAUGUGGUACUCAACUCACCAUCUUCUGAUUUUAGUCUGGCUUCACAAACUAAACCAGAGAGAAUGCACAAUCUGGUAAUCUAAGUGUGGCUGUUGUAUUUCUCCAGGUCUAACAAAUCCAAUUGAUAGCAAUAACUACAAGCAAAGUAUUAAGAAGAAUUCAACAUCUUUCUUGUGACAUGUUAUAGAAUCUCAGACUGUGACAGCUUCGUAGACAGCAAAGCACCAUGAUGUAGCAGCACCUUCGUUUCUUUUCCUUCUGUCGACACAAUGAAACAUCAACUUUUUCCUUGGAAAAGGAGGUGAUAUCAGUUUUUCCUUCUCAUCUUCUAGUUCUAUGUCCUAUGAUUGGUUCCCUGAUAUGCUUGUGGCUUAUUAGUCUUUUUCAUCUGAAUACAUGAGGCUGUCUGGUUAUUAGACCAUACUAUACUGGCAUCAACUCCCAUUCUUAAGGUUAGAAUUACUGAUGAUGUCUCUACUGGCUUAGAAUUGUGGCAAUUUGACCCUCUGGAUAAGUGAUAUAUGGGAAUGGGUUCUCGGUUAUUCUCUAACUAUUCAACAUUCAAAAGAGCAAGAGUUCCAGGAACAUAAAGAGUCAAACACAUCGCCUAUCAAUAUUUUAC
rnacentral:lncRNA from 1 species